rnacentral:misc_RNA from 1 species
GGGUAACCCGGAUACCCAGACGGAGGCGACGGUGGUGGGUACCCUUCGUAGGGCAGCGCUGGUGGAGGCGGUGCAGAUGGAGGGUAUCCUGGUGAUGGAUAAUUUGGUGCGUAUCCUGGAGUAGGGUAGUGUUCAUGGGGAGGUUUCUGGUAACUCAUUCUCAGAAAAAUCUUCAAUACGGAUGAACACUGAGAUUGCAAAUGGAGAAGGACAGCCUUUAAUCAACAAAGAUUUUCAGUUUUUCACUGCUACUAAUAGUACAGUGAGGGCGC